AUUGGAUCCAGACUUUGAUCAUGGCUCAGGAUGAACGCUAGCUACAGGCUUAACACAUGCAAGUCGAGGGGAAACGACAUUGGAAGCUUGCUUCCGAUGGGCGUCGACCGGCGCACGGGUGAGUAACGCGUAUCCAACCUGCCCACCACUUGGGAAUAACCUUGCGAAAGUAAGACUAAUGCCCAAUGAUAUUGAGUGCAGACAUCUAAUCUCAAUUAAAGAUUCAUCGGUGAUGGAUGGGGAUGCGUCCGAUUAGCUUGUUGGCGGGGUAACGGCCCACCAAGGCAACGAUCGGUAGGGGUUCUGAGAGGAAGGUCCCCCACAUUGGAACUGAGACACGGUCCAAACUCCUACGGGAGGCAGCAGUGAGGAAUAUUGGUCAAUGGGCGAGAGCCUGAACCAGCCAAGUAGCGUGCAGGAUGACGGCCCUAUGGGUUGUAAACUGCUUUUAUAAGGGAAUAAAGUGGGGCUCGUGAGCUCUUUUGCAUGUACCUUAUGAAUAAGGACCGGCUAAUUCCGUGCCAGCAGCCGCGGUAAUACGGAAGGUCCGGGCGUUAUCCGGAUUUAUUGGGUUUAAAGGGAGCGUAGGCCGGAGAUUAAGCGUGUUGUGAAAUGUAGAUGCUCAACAUCUGCACUGCAGCGCGAACUGGUUUCCUUGAGUACGCACAAAGUGGGCGGAAUUCGUGGUGUAGCGGUGAAAUGCUUAGAUAUCACGAAGAACUCCGAUUGCGAAGGCAGCUCACUGGAGCGCAACUGACGCUGAAGCUCGAAAGUGCGGGUAUCGAACAGGAUUAGAUACCCUGGUAGUCCGCACGGUAAACGAUGGAUGCCCGCUGUUGGUCUGAAUAGGUCAGCGGCCAAGCGAAAGCAUUAAGCAUCCCACCUGGGGAGUACGCCGGCAACGGUGCAACUCAAAUGAAUUGACGGA
rnacentral:rRNA from 1 species